AGGAACUGAGGAAAGGAAAGAAAGGGGAAGGGGGUCAGAGGACUUGCAGGCGCUCAAACGCUACGCCUGGAGUUUAAAAGGGAAACUUCACCUCAAGGAACACGUGAAACCCCCAGACCACCAAGAGCUUCCGGCGUCAGUGCUUCCCCGGUGCAGAAGCUGAGUUUUAUUAAGUAUAUAAUUGUGUGUUGUGAGAGAAAUGCACGUGGCAUAUAGACCUGCUGGCUAUGUAUGGCAAUGUCACAUAUGUCUCAAGUUGGGGCCCAACCCUGAAACCUCAGAAAAAGAUCAACAAUAGAUGCCACAGUAAGCUGAUACCAGCUCUUCAAAGUGUGUUGGAACCUGAGGGGAACUGAAGGGAAAGCCAAGAGGACAGACAGGACUGGGCCGGCAGAGGUGGAAACACUGGGGAGGCCAGGCUUCCGAGAGGUCAUGCUCAGGCAUCACCCUGUGACUGAAGAUUCUUGGUGGAUGCCCAGAUAGGAUUGCUUGCUUUAUCAACUCCUUCAAAAACUCAUCUCAGAGUGACAGUAAAGAAAUGAAAUCAGACAAAAGCCACAAGAGAGAAGAGCUCAGAAGGAGGGCAGAAGCAGAUGCGAAGUUUCAAUAAAUGUGUGGACGGUCAAAAAACAAAGGAAGCAACAUAUGUUCAAAGUGAAGAAAGCAGUAGUUCAGGAUACAGGAAGUUUAGGGCUAAGCCUAAAGAACCCCAGACUCACCACAAGUUUAGGAAUAAGAAAGACACUGUGUGUGCCUUUAGGCUGUGCCCACUGAUAUGAGCGAGAACCCUCAAAUCUCAGUCUUAGCGUUUCAGGGUCACUCUUCAUGGACACUCCUGAUUGGGGGUUGGGACUCCUCUAAGCCCUGAGUCAAGGAUCCUGGCUGCUUCCAUCCUGGGCCUUGGCCAUCUUCAUAAUAUGGAUUCAACAUUAAACCAGACUCAGAACCGUCUAGGACACUCAGAACAAUUUGAUAAAAAUUUAUAUUCAAGAAACAUGAACAGGAUACUAUGAAAAAAGGAAGCCCCAGAGAAUGUGAAAGAGCAUUGGAAUUUAAAAGUAUGAUUGUUUAGGAUUUUUUUUAAGUGACAGUAAAAGAAAAAAGAGAAAGGAAAGCUCUUCUCUACUGAAAAGCUGUUAUUCUAAUAAAAGAAGAAAGGAUAAUAUUAGAAAAUUCCUAUUUUGUGACAUGUAAUGUAAUCAUUGAUUCAGGUCAAAGAUCAUCAGUGGAUGUUAGAAUCAUUUGUUGCCAGUUUUAUCAAGUAACCAAACAUUCAAACAGAACCAAUACAUCUUCCCACAGAUCAUUUAGUAAUUGAGAGGAGAAAAAUCCCCUACAGUGGAAAGGAUUGCAUUUACUUCCUUCAUAAAAUGACCAUACUUCACACCAUGAACAGGAAAACAGUCUGACAUUAUGGGUCUCCUGGUGUAAUUGAAUAUGAGGAACACAACCUCACCUAUGAAAUAUUAUUGCACAGAAAGUUCAGCUUUAAUCGGAACUCUAGUCCUGUGCUAUGCAAUAUGUUGGACACUGGACACAUGACUGUUGAGAACUUGAAUUGUGGCUAGUCCAAAUUAAGAUGUGCUAUAAGUGUCAAGUAUACACCAGAUUUGAUUUCAUAGAUAUAG
ensembl:lncRNA